rnacentral:rRNA from 1 species
AGGUAAGCUACUAAGAGCGAAUGGUGGAUGCCUUGACUGGUAAAGGCGAUGAAGGACGUACUAGACUGCGAUAAGCUACGGGGAGCUGUCAAGAAGCUUUGAUCCGUAGAUUUCCGAAUGGGGCAACCCAAUGUAUAGAGAUAUACAUUACCUAUAUAGGAGCGAACGAGGGGAAUUGAAACAUCUUAGUACCCUCAGGAAAAGAAAUCAAUAGAGAUUGCGUCAGUAGCGGCGAGCGAAAGCGCAAGAGGGCAAACCCAGUGCUUGCACUGGGGGUUGUAGGACUGCAAUGUGCAAGAGGUAAGUUUAGCAGAACAUUCUGGAAAGUAUAACCAUAGAGGGUGAUAGUCCCGUAUGCGAAAAACAAACCUUAGCUAGCAGUAUCCUGAGUAGGGCGGGACACGAGGAAUCCUGUCUGAAUCUGGGUCGACCACGAUCCAACCCUAAAUACUAAUACCAGAUCGAUAGUGCACAAGUACCGUGAGGGAAAGGUGAAAAGAACUGAGGUGAUCAGAGUGAAAUAGAACCUGAAACCAUUUGCUUACAAUCAUUCAGAGCCCUAUGUAGCAAUACAGGGUGAUGGACUGCCUUUUGCAUAAUGAGCCUGCGAGUUGUGGUGUCUGGCAAGGUUAAGCAAACGCGAAGCCGUAGCGAAAGCGAGUCUGAAUAGGGCGCUUAGUCAGAUGCUGCAGACCCGAAACGAAGUGAUCUAUCCAUGAGCAAGUUGAAGCUAGUGUAAGAACUAGUGGAGGACUGAACCCAUAGGCGUUGAAAAGCCCCGGGAUGACUUGUGGAUAGGGGUGAAAGGCCAAUCAAACUUCGUGAUAGCUGGUUCUCUCCGAAAUAUAUUUAGGUAUAGCGUUGUGUCGUAAUAUAAGGGGGUAGAGCACUGAAUGGGCUAGGGCAUACACCAAUGUACCAAACCCUAUCAAACUCCGAAUACCUUAUAUGUAAUCACAGCAGUCAGGCGGCGAGUGAUAAAAUCCGUCGUCAAGAGGGAAACAACCCAGACUACCAGCUAAGGUCCCUAAAUCUUACUUAAGUGGAAAACGAUGUGAAGUUACUUAAACAACCAGGAGGUUGGCUUAGAAGCAGCCAUCCUUUAAAGAAAGCGUAAUAGCUCACUGGUCUAGUGAUUUUGCGCGGAAAAUAUAACGGGGCUAAAGUAAGUACCGAAGCUGUAGACUUAGUUUACUAAGUGGUAGGAGAGCGUUCUAUUUGCGUCGAAGGUAUACCGGUAAGGAGUGCUGGAGCGAAUAGAAGUGAGCAUGCAGGCAUGAGUAGCGAUAAUUAAUGUGAGAAUCAUUAACGCCGUAAACCCAAGGUUUCCUACGCGAUGCUCGUCAUCGUAGGGUUAGUCGGGUCCUAAGUCGAGUCCGAAAGGGGUAGACGAUGGCAAAUUGGUUAAUAUUCCAAUACCAACAUUAGUGUGCGAUGGAAGGACGCUUAGGGCUAAGGGGGCUAGCGGAUGGAAGUGCUAGUCUAAGGUCGUAGGAGGUUAUACAGGCAA